AUUAGCUUCUGCUAAAUUUAGUUCCGCUAACUUUCAGUCCACUAACAUUUUUUUUUGCUGGAAUAAUGAGUAAAACCUAACGGCCAAAAACAUUUAUAAACCUUAAAAUCUUA